GUUUGGUUAAGUUAGAAAGGGCGCACGGUGGAUGCCUUGACACUAGGAGUCGAUGAAGGACGGGACUAACGCCGAUAUGCUUCGGGGAGCUGUAAGUAAGCUUUGAUCCGAAGAUUUCCGAAUGGGGAAACCCACCAUACGUAAUGGUAUGGUAUCCUUAUCUGAAUACAUAGGGUAAGGAAGACAGACCCAGGGAACUGAAACAUCUAAGUACCUGGAGGAAGAGAAAGCAAAUGCGAUUUCCUGAGU
rnacentral:rRNA from 1 species